rnacentral:lncRNA from 1 species
AAGCGGAGGUGGAAGUUGGCGCGCAGGAAUGUGGCUGUCCCCGCCUGUAAAUCAUGGUUGGGGAGGAGUCGCGGAGGCACCAGGUUGGGGUGUGCAGCACACAGGGGGCGCUCCAUCUGCUGCAGCACACAGGAGGCGCUGAGGCUAGUUGGAGACAGAGUCUCACUAUGUCACCCAGGCUGGAGUGAAGUGGCAUGAUCUUGGCUUACUGAAACCUCCAUCUCCCAGGUUCAAGCAAUUCUCAUGCCUCAGCCACUUGAGUAGCUGGGACUACAGGAUUUCGCCAUAUUCCCCAGGCUGGUCUCGAACUCGUGAGCUCAGGUAACCCGCCUACCUUGGUCUCCCAAAGUGCUAGGAUUACAGCCCAAAUGACCCUCCAAGACCCUCUGGAGGCACCCGCAGUGCUCCUUAAUUUGCAGCUCUACAGAAUGAGACCGGCGUGGCAGCCCCCUUUCAGGACAGCUCCCGAGAUGCAAGAGGAGCCCCUAAAUCUCACCCAGCAAAGCCGUUUCUUCCUAACCGGGCUGGGGAGUGCCAUGCACUGCCAGGAGAUGGCGACAGAGGAUGAGCCUGCGGAAACCGGCCUUUUCAUAGCCAACAAGAGCAAAAGCACACUGCAAUGUCCAAACGAAUUGCAGGUGUUUUCUGCUCCCUGAAGCCUGGGAAUUAAUUUAUAUACUCAGUCCCUUUUCCCUUGGCUGGCCAUUGAAGUAGUUGAACCACAGGACUGGACUGUCCAGAAUCAUUAGCCAGAGUCCGCUGUGAGUGGACGUCUUUUAGUUCUGCUUCAACGCUAUAACCAACCUUUACCAAAAGCAACAACAAAACAAAAAACUGCAGAAACCAAUGAGUUCUGUUCACAAAGGAUGGCUCCUCAUGUCAUCACACUAGCAAGGAAUGGACGAGCCUCUGAUUUUUCUCUUCUUGGCUGACUUUACAAGGUUGGGUGCAGCCCAUGAGGAUCAUGAAGCAAAGACAGAAAGUGCUGGAGAAGCCCCACCUUCAGGGCCUCACCUUUAGCUGGUUUGUAUGGUUCCACUUCAUGUAGCUGUUGGAACACCAGUCUCUCUAAUGUGCUCUGUGGGAUAGCUGUUACCUUCCACUAAUUUAUGUCUAAUACCUAUAAACCUAAAGUGUCCUUUUAAAAAUUUUAUUCAGUCUUUUUGGAGGAAAUUUUUGUGCAUGCCAGAUAUAGUGUCAAGCAUGGGGAUUGCUAAGAUGAAUGUAACAUUGUCCUCACCACCCAUUAAGUCACAAUCUAGUAGAUGAGUAAAAGUAAAAAAAAUAAAAAAAAGAGUUAUAACCAUAAUACAGAAGUGAACAGGUUGCAGUGGUAGCACAGAGAGGGCUUCAGGGAUGCUGUCACAGAGGUGGUAACAUUUGAGAUAUAGAUUCCAAAUUCAGAUGUGUUUGCUGUUGCAAAAUUCCAGGGUCUAUGUGCCCAGUUCCUGAACAUUCCAGUGAUAAUUUUUACCUAAAAUUUAGGUGGCAAAUGAAUCUUACUAUAACCACUUGGAACCACUGUGUUUCUGGUCCAUCCUGUGAGACCCAUCUUUGCUUUAGAGGGAUGGAGGCAGAGGUCAUACAGCAGGUAAGCUCAAGCAGUGAUAUAUGACAGGGCUUUCAGAACUGGGGACGGCAUAUCAGAGACCUUAGUGGCAGCCCCUCCCAUCACAAGCCUGGUUACACGGUUAGGUGGAAAAGACAAGUUGUAUGUAGAGAUCAUUAUCAGAAAUUGCUAAACUCUGUCAUCAAAAACUCUGUUGGAAUGGAUUUUAAAAUUUCUUAAUAAAAGAAUAUGAAACAUG